GGCGCGCCCCGCGCGCGCUCCCGGCGCCCCCCGCGGCGCUGCCCUUCAGGGCGGCCCAAGAUGGCGACGGCGACGCGGAUCAUCCAGCGGCUGCGGAACUUCCUGGCGGGGCGGGACCUCCAGGCGAAGCUGCAUCUGCGCUACGGGGAGAUCUCCAAGAGGACGCAGCCGCCGCCGCGGCUCCCGGUGGGCCCCAGCCACAAGUUCGCCGAUAACUAUUACUGUGGCCGGGACGGGCGCCGCGAGUCGCUGCCGCCCGUGGUGGUGGUGGCGGCGCAGAAGACUCUGGCUGCAGGGGCACAGCCCGGCAGGUAGGUCUGGCCUGGGCGGUGCUGCCGCUGCUGAGCGGGGUCAACCCUCAUUUACACCAGGAACGCGGUGCGGAGUUACCCAGUUCAGGCUCUGCAGUGACAACAGCACAGAAAAAAGCAGUGACACCAGGACCACCACUUAGGAAGUGGGAGAUUUCCAAGGACCAGCCCUACCUGUGAGCAGGGAGUGAGCCAAGGCUGCGGGAUGGGCUCAGGUGCUUCCAGAGCAGCUCCAGUGGGGAGUCUGUGGUGGAUUUGGCUUCAGGAGUGCUGCAGGGAGCUGAUACCUUACUAAUAAAUGUAUUUAAAACUGUGACUACA